GAUGAACGCUGGCGGCGUGCCUAAUACAUGCAAGUCGAGCGAACGGACGAGAAGCUUGCUUCUCUGAUGUUAGCGGCGGACGGGUGAGUAACACGUGGAUAACCUACCUAUAAGACUGGGAUAACUUCGGGAAACCGGAGCUAAUACCGGAUAAUAUUUUGAACCGCAUGGUUCAAAAGUGAAAGACGGUCUUGCUGUCACUUAUAGAUGGAUCCGCGCUGCAUUAGCUAGUUGGUAAGGUAACGGCUUACCAAGGCAACGAUGCAUAGCCGACCUGAGAGGGUGAUCGGCCACACUGGAACUGAGACACGGUCCAGACUCCUACGGGAGGCAGCAGUAGGGAAUCUUCCGCAAUGGGCGAAAGCCUGACGGAGCAACGCCGCGUGAGUGAUGAAGGUCUUCGGAUCGUAAAACUCUGUUAUUAGGGAAGAACAUAUGUGUAAGUAACUGUGCACAUCUUGACGGUACCUAAUCAGAAAGCCACGGCUAACUACGUGCCAGCAGCCGCGGUAAUACGUAGGUGGCAAGCGUUAUCCGGAAUUAUUGGGCGUAAAGCGCGCGUAGGCGGUUUUUUAAGUCUGAUGUGAAAGCCCACGGCUCAACCGUGGAGGGUCAUUGGAAACUGGAAAACUUGAGUGCAGAAGAGGAAAGUGGAAUUCCAUGUGUAGCGGUGAAAUGCGCAGAGAUAUGGAGGAACACCAGUGGCGAAGGCGACUUUCUGGUCUGUAACUGACGCUGAUGUGCGAAAGCGUGGGGAUCAAACAGGAUUAGAUACCCUGGUAGUCCACGCCGUAAACGAUGAGUGCUAAGUGUUAGGGGGUUUCCGCCCCUUAGUGCUGCAGCUAACGCAUUAAGCACUCCGCCUGGGGAGUACGACCGCAAGGUUGAAACCCAAAGGAAUUGACGGGGACCCGCACAAGCGGUGGAGCAUGUGGUUUAAUUCGAAGCAACGCGAAGAACCUUACCAAAUCUUGACAUCCUUUGACAACUCUAGAGAUAGAGCUUUCCCCUUCGGGGGACAAAGUGACAGGUGGUGCAUGGUUGUCGUCAGCUCGUGUCGUGAGAUGUUGGGUUAAGUCCCGCAACGAGCGCAACCCUUAAGCUUAGUUGCCAUCAUUAAGUUGGGCACUCUAAGUUGACUGCCGGUGACAAACCGGAGGAAGGUGGGGAUGACGUCAAAUCAUCAUGCCCCUUAUGAUUUGGGCUACACACGUGCUACAAUGGACAAUACAAAGGGCAGCGAAACCGUGAGGUCAAGCAAAUCCCAUAAAGUUGUUCUCAGUUCGGAUUGUAGUCUGCAACUCGACUACAUGAAGCUGGAAUCGCUAGUAAUCGUAGAUCAGCAUGCUACGGUGAGUACGUUCCCGGGUCU
rnacentral:rRNA from 1 species